rnacentral:rRNA from 1 species
CGGGGUGAGUAACGCGUGGGUAACCUGCCUCAUACAGGGGGAUAACGAUUGGAAACGAUUGCUAAUACCGCAUAAGCGCACAGUACCACAUGGUGCGGUGUGAAAAACUCCGGUGGUAUGAGAUGGACCCGCGUCUGAUUAGCUAGUUGGUGAGGUAACGGCCCACCAAGGCAACGAUCAGUAGCCGACCUGAGAGGGUGACCGGCCACAUUGGGACUGAGACACGGCCCAG